rnacentral:ncRNA from 1 species
AAAACAGCAUCAAUCAUUCAUGUAUAAACUAGGUGCUUAAUAUGGCCUUCCUUAAACUUUGCUAUAUGCUCGAACAUCCCUACUUUACUUGAAACGGAGUAUGGGAUAAUCAGCAGGAAACCAACUAAUAUGUAAUACACAUAUUAUAGUAGGAUUCUCAGAGACUACACGCAAAGCAUCUCACAUUCCUUUUUAUGUGAGGUGAUGAUAUAGUCCGAUUCAGUAACGUAAGAUACUG